GAUGAACGCUGGCGGCGUGCCUAAUACAUGCAAGUCGAGCGAACGGACGAGAAGCUUGCUUCUCUGAUGUUAGCGGCGGACGGGUGAGUAACACGUGGAUAACCUACCUAUAAGACUGGGAUAACUUCGGGAAACCGGAGCUAAUACCGGAUAAUAUUUUGAACCGCAUGGUUCAAAAGUGAAAGACGGUCUUGCUGUCACUUAUAGAUGGAUCCGCGCUGCAUUAGCUAGUUGGUAAGGUAACGGCUUACCAAGGCAACGAUGCAUAGCCGACCUGAGAGGGUGAUCGGCCACACUGGAACUGAGACACGGUCCAGACUCCUACGGGAGGCAGCAGUAGGGAAUCUGCCGCAAGGGGCGAAAGCCUGACGGAGCAACGCCGCGUGAGUGAUGAAGGUCUUCUGAUCGUAAAACUCUGUUAUUAGGGAAGAACAGAUGUGUAAGUAACUGUGCACAUCUUGACGGUACCUAAUCAGAAAGCCACGGCUAACUACGG
rnacentral:rRNA from 1 species